UAAGAGCUACUGGAGUGAUUAGAAAAGCAAAUGUAGGUAUAAGUAACGAUAAGGCCGGCGAGAAACCGGCCCGCCGAUAGACUAAGGUUUCCUGAACAACGCUAAUCGGUUCAGGGUCAGUCGGGACCUAAGGCGAAGCCGAACGGCGUAGUCGAUGGACAACUGGUUAAUAUUCCAGUACUUGCUCUACUGUGAUGAGGAGACGGAAAAUGAAAGUGCUGCGUACUGACGGAAUAGUACGUUGAAGGGUGUAGGUAUAUUUUUGGUAGGAAAAUCCGCCAGAGAUGCUGAAGCCUGAUAGUACCUUGAGUCGUAAGACAAGAGGAUAUGCACCUAAGUCAGCUUCCAAGAAAAUCCUCUAAACUUCAGGUAGAAGCAACCCGUACCGCAAACCGACACAGGUAGUCAAGGAGAGAAUCCUGAGGCGCUCGAGUGAACCGUGGUUAAGGAACUAGGCAAAUUGACCCUGUAACUUCGGGAUAAAGGGUGCCCACAGUAAUGUGGGCCGCAGUGAAAUGGCGAUGGCGACUGUUUAACAAAAACACAUGGCUUUGCGAAAUCGAAAGAUGAAGUAUAAGGCCUGACACCUGCCCGGUGCCGGAAGGUUAAGAGGAGAUGUUAGAAGCAAUUCGAAGCAUUGAAUUGAAGCCCCGGUAAACGGCGGCCGUAACGAUAACGGUCCUAAGGUAGCGAAAUUCCUUGUCGGGUAAGUUCCGACCUGCACGAAUGGUGUAACGAUCUUCGCACUGUCUCAACCACGAGCUCGGUGAAAUUGUGGUAUCAGUGAAGACGCUGAUUACCCGUCACGGGACGGAAAGACCCCAUGCACCUUCACUAUAGUUUAACAUUGACGCUGGAUAAUUGAUGUGUAGAAUAGGUGGGAGGCUUUGAAGCAGCGGCGCUAGCCGUUGUGGAGCCACCGUUGAAAUACCACCCUUUAAUUAUUUGGCGUCUAACUCCGCAGGGAGGACAUUGUUUGAUGGGUAGUUUGACUGGGGUGGUCGCCUCCGAAAGAGUAUCGGAGGCUUUCAAAGAUUCGCUCAGUACGCUUGGUAACCGUACGUAGAGUGCAAUAGCAUAAGCGAGUUUGACUGUGAGGCCGACAAGCCAAGCAGGGUCGAAAGACGGAUAUAGUGAUCCGGCGGUUCCGCAUGGAAGGGCCGUCGCUCAUAGGAUAAAAGGUACGCUGGGAUAACAGGCUGAUCCCUCCCAAGAGCUCACAUCGACGGGGGGGUUUGGCACCUCGAUGUCGGCUCGUCACAUCCUGGGGCUGGAGAAGGUCCCAAGGGUUCGGCUGUUCGCCGAUUAAAGUGGCACGCGAGCUGGGUUCAGAACGUCGUGAGACAGUUCGGUCCCUAUCUGUGAUGGGCGUUAGAAAAUUGAGAUGAGCUGACUCUAGUACGAGAGGACCGAGUCGGACAAACCGCUAGUGUACCAGUU
rnacentral:rRNA from 1 species